rnacentral:tRNA from 1 species
GCACUCGUAGCUCAGCCUGGAUAGAGCAGUGGCAUCCUAAGCCGAAGGUCGAAGGUUCAAAUCCUUCCGAGUGCG